rnacentral:ncRNA from 12 species
GCAGGGAUAGCCAAGUUUGGCCAACGGCGCAGCGUUCAGGGCGCUGUCCCGUAGGGGUCCGCAGGUUCAAAUCCUGCUCCCUGCA